AUUCUUGGAGAUGGUUAUCAAAUGGAAGGGAUUGCAAAUGAGGCGUGUUCACUUGUUGGUCAUUGGGGACUUGGAUAGUUAAUUGCAUUUUAUGAUGACAACCACAUCUCCAUCGAUGGUGACAUAGAGAUCGCCUUCACUGAGAAUGUUGACCAGCGUUUUGAAGCUCUCGGGUGGCACAUAAUUUGGGUGAAGAACGGAAACACCGAUUAUGAUGAAAUCUGUACUGCCAUUAAAGAAGCUAAAGUUGUGACUGAUAAACCUACUUUGAUCAAGGUGACAACAACAAUCGGUUUUGGGUCACCAAACAAGGAGAAUUCGUACAGUGUUCAUGGAGCGGCUUUGGGUGCAAAAAAGUAGAUGCAACUAGACAAAACCUCGGGUGGCCUUACGAGCCAUUCCAUGUACCAAAUAAAGUGAAGAAGCACUGGAGUCGCCAUACCCCAGAGGGUGCCGCUCUUGAAGCAGAACGGAAUGCUAAAUUUGCAGAGUACGAGAAGAAAUACCCUAAAGAGGUUGCUGAAUUCAAAUCUAUUGCUAUCGGUGUAUUGCCUGCCGGAUGGGAGAAGGCUCUUUCGGUUAGUAUAUUCUUUU